ensembl:lncRNA
CUCAGGACCUUGUGCUUGUGAGGCAGGCCCGGUGCCACAGGAUCUGUGCUAUUUUAAAUUGGCAUAUUUGGUGCUGAGGAUCAAAUCCAGGGCCUCACAAGUGUUGGGCAAGUGCUCUACCACUGAGCUGCACCCCUAGGCAAGGCUGUAAUUUUUUGUUGUUGUUAUUACCAGGGAUCAAACUCAGGACCUUGCGCUUGCAAGGCAGGCACUGGAACCACUGAGCUAAAUCCCCAGGCCCAAGGCUAUGAUAUUUUUAACACAAUUUGACAUACGGUCACAAAGUGAGGAGCUGUUUAAUUCUUUCUGCUGUCAAGGCCCAAGAUAAAAGCAGAGAGUCUCGCUAUGCAGUUCAGACCGGCCUUGAACUCACUAUGGAGCCCAACUGACCUUGAACUCUCAGUUAUCCUCCUGCCUCAGCCUCCCAAGUGUUGGGAUUAUAGGCCUGCACCAUCAUGCCUGGCAUCAUUAAUAUUUUUUUUAGGGACAUUCAUGUUUGAUUUGUGGCAAUAAUUCACUCAUUUUUAUUGCUUUAUCAUAACUGAUUGUAUAAAUAUACCACAAUUGUAUUUUUGUGGAUAUUUUAUUAUUUAGGCCUUUAUUAAAAAAUGCUGCUAUACACAUUUGCAUACAUAUCUUUGAAUGCAUUUAUGUAAUGUUUCUUUAGGACAUGUCCCUUGGAGUAGAAGUUUUGGGCAAUAAGAUAUGCAUAUGUUCAGCUAUAGCACACACUGCCAAACAGUUUUCCAAAUUAGUAUUCCAAGUUAACCCUCAACAUUUGGUAUUAUCAUUCUUUUUACUUUUAACCAUUCAGGUGGGCGCCUAGUGAUAGAACUCUGCUAUUUUAAUUUGUAUUCUCCCCGUGACUAAUGAUGUUUUCAGUGCCUUUUCCUGUGUUUAUUGACCAUUCAAGCAUCCUGUUUCUAUUAAAUUUUUGUCUUUAGC